rnacentral:rRNA from 1 species
ACCAGACUCCUACGGGAGGCAGCAGUCGGGAAUAUUGCGCAAUGGAGGAAACUCUGACGCAGUGACGCCGCGUAUAGGAAGAAGUUUUUCGGAAUGUAAACUAUUGUCGUUAGGGAAGAGAAAGGACAGUACCUAAGGAGGAAGCUCCGGCUAACUACGUGCCAGCAGCCGCGGUAAUACGUAGGGGGCAAGCGUUAUCCGGAUUUACUGGGUGUAAAGGGAGCGUAGACGGCGAUGCAAGUCUGAAGUGAAAGGCGGGGGCCCAACCCCCGGACUGCUUUGGAAACUGUAUAGCUGGAGUGCAGGAGAGGUAAGUGGAAUUCCUAGUGUAGCGGUGAAAUGCGUAGAUAUUAGGAGGAACACCAGUGGCGAAGGCGGCUUACUGGACUGUAACUGACGUUGAGGCUCGAAAGCGUGGGGAGCAAACAGGAUUAGAUACCCUAGUAU